rnacentral:pre_miRNA from 1 species
CUAUCACCUAGAGUUCCUCUGAUCACUUCAUUGUAUUUGUUUGCGUCUUCAGAUAAUCAAUUCUCAAGUGCAUGCAGCACUGAAGUGUUUGGGGGAACUCUGGCUGCCAA